GAAGUUGUCGAUUGAAUCAAAGUUGUAUGUUGUGGAUUGAGAUCAUCUUGGGAUUUAAUAUGCGUAUGUGACACAAGCCAACAUCACUUCUCUUUUUAUGCCAUUGAUUUCCGUUUUAACUAAUCUUACUUGGAACUUAGUGGCAUCCACAAGCUAGCUAAUGCCAAAACCUUGCCCACAAUCAAACUCUCCAACCCGUUUAAGUGACCUGCC
rnacentral:lncRNA from 1 species